rnacentral:misc_RNA from 1 species
CGCACCUUGCGCCCUUUGGUAUUCCGAUGGGCAUGCCCGUUUGAGUGUCUUGAAAUCAUCAAGCCCCAUCCUUGCCGCGAGGCGGGGUUCGGGGCUUGGAGUUGGGGGUCCUGCUGCCUUGCGGGCGGCUCCCCUUAAAUGCAUCGGCUGGGGGUUCUGGACUUCAGUGCUGCCGAAGGCGUUGUAACAUCCUCGCUCGCGGUGGCCGUCCUCUGCGCCUCUGCCUAGACCUGCCUCUGGAGCGGCGGUCAGCUUACACUUUCUUGACUCUGACCUCAAAUCGGGCAGGACUACCCGCUGAACUUAA